rnacentral:rRNA from 1 species
AGAGUUUGAUCCUAGCUCAGGAUGAACGCUGGCGGCGUGGGUAAGGCAUGCAAGUCAAACGGUUGAGUGCUAGCAAUAGCGCUCAGCAGUGGCGAACGAGGUAGUAAUAAGCAGGUACGAACCGAGAAGUCAGGAAUAGUCCGCCGAAAGGCGGGUUAAUACUUGAUGGUCUGAGCAUCUCACAAAGGUUCGAUGCAGUUAAAAGUCUAUAAAGUCAUAAAGUCUAUAAAGUCGGAAUUUGUUUCCACUUUACAGACUUUCGACUUUAAGGACUGCACCGAGGUUUUGCGAGGUGCUUAGUAAAGAUUUAUCGCUUCUUGAUCGGCCUGUUCGAUAUCAGCUAGUUGGUAGGGUAAUGGCCUACCAAGGCUAUGACGUCUAGGGGAGCUGAGAGGCUGACCCCCACCGAUGGAACUGAGACACGGUCCAUACACCUACGGGUGGCCGCAGUCGAGAAUCUUCCGCAAUGGGCGAAAGCCUGACGGAGCGACGCCGCGUGAUUGAUGAAGUCCUUAGGGAUGUAAAAAUCUUUUAUGAGGGAGGAAGUUUAUUGACGUUACCUCAUGAAUAAGGGGUUGCAAAACUCGUGCCAGCAGCAGCGGUAAUACGAGUGCCCCGAGCGUUAUCCGGAAUCAUUGGGCGUAAAGGAUGUGUAGGCGGUCUUGUUAGUCUUUUGUUAAGGCUCCCGGCUUAACCGGGAAAAUGCAAAGGAAACGGCAAGACUUGAGGGUGCGAGGGGUCUAUGGAACUCAUGGUGUAGGGGUGAAAUCUGUUGAUAUCAUGGGGAACACCAAAAGCGAAGGCAAUAGACUGGAGCAUUCCUGACGCUGAAACAUGAAAGCGUGGGUAGCGAAUGGGAUUAGAUAAACGCUCAUCCCGAUGAACAUCGGGAUUCGCUUCUGUGAAAGGAGGCGGAGAGCAAAUGUCUCAUCUGUUGGCAACAAUAGAAAGUAAAUUUGUCCCGAUUUUGAUUGCCAAAAGCAAUGACAAAAUCGAGGAUCCCGAUAAGCGUAAGCGACAUCGGGAGCUAUAUGCUGGAAACUCUGCGAAUGCGAGAGUACCGAAAGGUGACAAUCUCUCGACGAUGCAGACAAUCAGCAGGGAAGAUUUGCAAACUGUAUUAAGGAAAAGUUCUUUGGGUGGGGGCAGAAAUAGGCACUAUAUCAAG